UAUACAUUCUUUUAUUAAUGUUGUUCACAAUUAAAAAAUGCAGCUAAAAAGGCUUGCCAAACCCCGGUUGUCGAGAAACGCGUAAGCAGGCAACUAAUAUUGACAGCGGAUGCUAACACGGGCGGUCCAGCAACACGAACAAGAGGAGGUCAGCAAGCGCAGUGUGCUAAGAAGGUGCAAAAAAGGAAGCUAAUAAUUUCACCGGACAGUGAUUUAGACACCCCCAGGCAAAACAUGGAGAAAUUAAAAAAAGUUGACGGCAAUGCGGGCGGUCCAGCAACACGUACCAGAGGAGGUUAGCAAUCACGGGCGCAUAGCAAAACAAAGAAAUUUGUCAUAAGGAAGCUAAUAAUUUCAGUGGACAGUGACUCAGGGAGGACUGGAGAUUUGUUAAAUAACAACGCCUUAGGUGACAAUGGCCGUCCAGUUCAGGCAAGAAAGGAUGCAGUUGUUGUGGGAAAAACAAAAAAAGGAAAACAUGAACGAGUGAAAAGCCGAAGUGGGAAACACCCAAAAACCACGCAUAAGUGGUCUAGAAUAAAAACACAUUCAGCGUCUAUGCAUGGUUUUCGAUUUAUCUUUCCCCGAUUUUAUCUGUAACUUCAAAAAUAAAUGUUACAUACAUCAAAUAUUUUAUUUUUUUAGAAUUGUUAAAUAUGUAACUA